CACGAACUCCGUCCUUUUCUGCGUCGCGGGCUACCGCCGCCGCCAGCAGAUCCGGCUGGUCCUGCGUCGCCGGCGAGAUACGCCGCCACCAAUCUCGCUGCCAGCUUGACAAGCAUUGCCAGCUUCAACUACAGAGCUCUGAACCCCUAUGGACUUAUGAAGUUACGAAUGGCACAGUGUUGUUAUGGGGCAUCAAGCACUACAAUGAUUUUCUCAUGACUGCUGGACCUGAUGGAUAUGUUCAGCCUGAGCUUCUGUUCCGGAAGGACCCAUCAACAUUCACCUUGCAGGCAGGAUGGGCCUUUACUUCAGUGGUGAUAAGUGUGUCAUGCCGCCUCCAGAUGCAUACCCAUGGCUGCCAAAUGCAUCCCCAAAACUGUCUGUCUCAUUUAUCCUCCCAUUGGUUCUUUUGCUAGUGCCAGUCAAUUCCUACUUCUGAGAAGAAAGAAGAUGCAUU